rnacentral:rRNA from 1 species
GACGAACCGUGCGAACGUUAUUCGGAAUCACUGGGCUUAAAGCGCGUGUAGGCGGGGCGGCACGUCGGUCGCUGAAAGCCCCCGGCUCAACCGGGGAACGGGCGCCGAUACGACCGCCCUCGAGGGACGUAGGGGGACCUGGAACUUCCGGUGGAGCGGUGAAAUGCGUUGAGAUCGGAAGGAACGCCCGUGGCGAAAGCGAGGUCCUGGACGUCUGCUGACGCUGAGACGCGCA